AUAAGCGGAGGAAAAGAAACUACUUAGGAUUCCCUUAGUAACGGCGAGUGAACCGGGAAAAGCUCAAAUUUGUAAUCUGGCUGUCUUCGAUAGUCCGAGUUGUAAUCUAUAGACGUGUUUUCCGUGCUGGACCGUAUCUAAGUCCCUUGGAACAGGGUAUCAAAGAGGGUGACAAUCCCGUGCUUGAUACGACCACCAGUGCUCUGUGAUACACGCUCUACGAGUCGAGUUGUUUGGGAAUGCAGCUCAAAAUGGGUGGUAAAUUCCAUCUAAAGCUAAAUAUUGGCGAGAGACCGAUAGCGAACAAGUACCGUGAGGGAAAGAUGAAAAGCACUUUGGAAAGAGAGUUAAACAGUACGUGAAAUUGUUGAAAGGGAAACGAUUGAAGUCAGUCGUGUUCUUUGGAUUCAGCUAGUUCUUCUAGUCUACUUCCAUUGAACGGGUCAACAUCAGUUUUGUCCGGUGGAUAAAGAUAGUAGGAAUGUAGCUCCCCCGGGAGUGUUAUAGACUAUUAUUGCAUACACUGGGUGAGACUGAGGACUGCAGCUCGCCUUUUGGCCGGUCUUCGGACACGUUCGAGCUUAGGAUGUUGACAUAAUGGC
rnacentral:rRNA from 1 species